UACGGGGGGAGCAAGCGUUGUUCGGAUUUACUGGGCGUAAAGGGCGCGUAGGCGGCCAGCACAAGUCAGUUGUGAAAUCUCCGAGCUUAACUCGGAAAGGUCAACUGAUACUGUGCGGCUAGAGUGCAGAAGGGGCAACUGGAAUUCUUGGUGUAGCGGUGAAAUGCGUAGAUAUCAAGAGGAACACCUGCGGCGAAGGCGGGUUGCUGGGCUGACACGUGACGCUGAAGCGCGAAAGCCAGGGGAGCGAACGGG
rnacentral:rRNA from 1 species